AUUGAACGCUGGCGGCAUGCCUUACACAUGCAAGUCGAACGGCAGCGCGGUCUUCGCUUUGGCUGCCAGUUGCCAACGGGCGAGCAAUGGAUGGAAACAUGCGCAGUUACUGUUGAUAGCGGGAUGAAGUACGGAUUCUUACGGCAAACCCCCUUAGGGUCUAAGCGGGGAAGCAAGAGACCUUCCGCUAUUGCGCCGUCCGAUGUCGGAUUAGCUAGUUGGUGGGGUAAAGGCUUACCAAGGCGACGAUCCGUAGCUGGUCUGAGAGGACGACCAGCCACACUGGGACUGAGACACGGCCCAGACUCCUACGGGAGGCAGCAGUGGGGAAUUUUGGACAAUGGGGGCAACCCUGAUCCAGCCAUGCCGCGUGCGGGAAGAAGGCCUUCGGGUUGUAAACCGCUUUUGUUCGGGAAGAAAUCCUCUGGGCUAAUACCCCGGGGGGAUGACGGUACCGGAAGAAUAAGCACCGGCUAACUACGUG
rnacentral:rRNA from 1 species